GAUUUUUCUCUCAAGAAGUAGUGCAGCUUUGAAGACUCCUGGAGAUCGUGGCAACAUUUUUAUCAACUGCAUCAACCAAUAAGCGUUGCUACCUCGAGGAAGUAAGGGGCUGCUGAACUCAUCCUUGAUUCUGUCAAGCUAUCCUCAAUCUGUAUAAUUGGUCCCUGUGUGGUUGUAGGCAAGAAAAAAAAAUGGACUGAACCCCAGAAACAUGACAAAUGCUUUGAAAAUGGCUUUGGACUAAAAGAGUCUCCAUGUGUUUCAUAAUGGAAUCAUUUUGCUUAUGAAAAAUGCCUGUGAGGAUGUCAUAGAAUGCUGCUGCUGGAAGAUUCAAAGCUGUCUCCACGCGUCUCAGCUUUGCUGGUCUGAGUGGAGUGAAACCGAAGCUGAACCUUCGUAUAGUGCCCUGCAUGUGAGGCUGGAGAGGCUGAUCGCUCACCCACCUCUUCUUUUUCUGUGUGUCUUGGUGUGGUCCUCUCAGCAUUGAUCAUGUUUGGUACACUCUAUAAUUCUGGGACCUGGAUAUCUGUUUCCUUUCCCAGUUCAAGAGGCUAAGUGGUGCCAUUUCUCUUAAUUCUUCUCGGAUGUGAGCAUCAUGUUACAGACAGAAGAAUAAAGUGUUCUUUCCUUUGGAACUAGAGCAAGGCCCUUUACAAGUAGAAUCCUGCCGCAACACUGAACAAUAAGGCAUCAUUCAACAAAGGCAGAAUGGAGUUUCCUUAUGAUGUAUCUUGAAGAAGGUCUUUUUUAUCCACAAGGCCAACAGAAUGCCUUAGCAGCAUGUCCAGUUCCUUCUUUGCCCUGCAUAGGCAUCAGCACAUUUGAAGCAGCAGUUACCUCUUCCAGACUUCAUGGACUGGCUGUGCAAACUCUUUCUAGAUGGGAAGUUCCCUCUUGGGGCUAAGCAGUACCAGCUUGGUGGACGGAUGAUACAGGCAAGAUGAAGCUGUCUCCCUUCUCUGUUUGUUUAGUCAUGCCCUUCUUCUGGUUUUCUGUCCUGCUGUGUUGCUUUUCUACACGGACUCCGGAGCUCUGCCAGUCUUUGUGGACAGCUGUUUCUUUGUUGAUCUUUGUCAGGGAGGGGAUAGAGGCCUGGUUCUUCUGCCUCUCCAUUUUGGUCUUGAUUCUUGAAGACGAUGAAAAGAAAAAGUGUUUACCAAUCAAAAGGAGUCACCUGAGAAUAGGAUACAAAGUAUGAAACUGUCUGACAUGUUUGGAAGGAAUUAUAUAUCCUGGUGCUCAACAUUCCAUUCUAUCCAGAGAGCUUUGUAUAUUUACUGAUAAGAUAACCAAAUUUGCAGUCUGUAUCUCUCUAUUUUACUAAAGAAAGACAACCUUUUUGCAGAGUUACACACUACUAUUUUCUUCAGAAAUCGUUUGUAUUGUAUUGUAUUGUAUUUAAUGCUGACACCUGCAACUGGCUUUAUAUUAAGGCCACAGAAGACAUUUUCAUCCCUUUUUCAGAUAUCAUUGCGUUUAUCUGUACCAACCACUAUGCUCAGGGCACUCUCUUUCAACUCCAUUGGCCUUCCUUCUUUGAAUUCUAACACAAAACCUAUUGGGGGGCUAUUGCCUAUGCUGUUUCUAUGCCUUGAAUGUUUGUUUCUCUCCAGAACUUUUGUACGUCUAGCUCUUUCGCAUUCAGUUCUUCCCACCUUAUAUUAUUAUUACCUAUCUAUCUCAGAUCACUUCCCUCAUGAUCCUGAUCCAAGUAUAUGCAACUCUGACAUCUCCCAGACAUCUUAUAUCAUUUAUUUAUUCUUAGUUGAUAAUCUUCAUAGCACAUCACUAGCUGAGAUUAACGUUUUCACACAUGAGUUACAUUUUCCUUCCCCCUCGUAAGCACACAGGAGUCGUACGAGUAGGAACGAUGGCUUUCCCACUUGCUAUUGUGACUGCAGCAACCAAAAUAGGACCUACGAUGCACCUCUCUUCCCAAACCCUCACAACUCCAAUUUAACCUUCUACUUGGGCUCACUGCCAGCUUGUUGGUACCAGUGCAACCUCAGCUCCUCUACAAGACAAACAGAUCUACAAGACAAACAGAAGAUCUUUUGGAGUCAGCACCACAACAUUGAGAGACAGCCUCAAGGCAUAAGAAAUGGAGUAAGUAAGUAAGUUUCUACAUGCAUUCUGAUGGCCCCGGACCACUAUAAAGGAACUGGCAUUAUGGCCUGAGGCCUACUGUCCGCAGGCUGAGAGACUAUUAGGAGACUCGACUCAAGUGUCAGGCAGCCUCUUCAGCAAGGGUUCCUGUUUCUACCCAACACAGUGUCCUUCAAUAACUAGCUCAGACUUUAAGCUGGCUUUGUAGGCUAACAAAAGCAUAGUAGAGUCAUUAAAAAGUUUCUUCAUCAACCAGACAGAGAAAACUCAAUCCAAAAAAAGUGUGCACAGUACUAAAGAAAGAAAGGACUGGCGCUGAUUGAUAGACAGAUACAGAGGAUAAUAAAGAGGAUAAUAAUUAGGAAAUGUAAGUGGAAGGCCAACUGGCCCGAGGCAGGGGACCGGAAUGCAUCAGACCGAAACCCUCCGGACCACCCAGUUCCAGGGACUGACGGUCCCAAGACUGAUGCAACCGGCACCGGAUAUUAUUGCCACGAUACCCGAAGAGACCACCGAAUAAGGAAUACCCUGUGCCCUCCCAGAUUCAUUCACCACACCCCUUUCCCUUCUUCCCCAACCCUCGCCCGGGUGUGCGACUU